UGCAUUGUUGUAUCUGCACCCAGCAGUAUUUCUGUUGGGCUGUUCAUAAAGCAGUGCUACAGUAAUUCACCACUUGGCAUCGUUGGUUGACAUGCUCAAUAUGUUUGUUGACCUGGUAUUUCUGGUUGAUACAUAA